rnacentral:rRNA from 1 species
GAUGAACGCUGGCGGGAUGCCUAACACAUGCAAGCCGAGCGAUAAUUGUUCUUCGGUACAGCGAGAGCGGCGCACGGGGGCGGAACACGUGUGCAACCUGCCUCUAUCUAGGAGAUAGCCUUUCGAAAGGGAAAUUAAUACCCAAUCAUAUAAUGAUUGUCAUCAUUUGUUAUUGAUAACUCCAGUGGUUAGAGAUGGGCACACACAAGAUUAAUUAGCUGGUGAGGUAACGGCUCACCAAGUCAAUGAUCUUGAGGCGGCAUGAGAGGGUGAUCCCCCACACUGGUACUGAGACCCGGACCACACUGCUACGGAACGCAGCCGUAAGUAAUAUGGUGCAAUGGGUUAGCGCCUGAUCCAGCCAGCCCACGUGAAGAACGACCGCCCUCUGGGUAGUAAACUUCUUUUGGAUAGGGAUAAACCUACUCUCGAGAGAGUAGCUGACGGUACUAUACGAAUAAGCACCGGCUAACUACGUG